CCUACGGGUGGCAGCAGUGAGGAAUAUUUGUCAAUGGGCGCGAGCCUGCACCAGCCAAGUCGCGUGCAGGAAGACGGCUCUAUGAGUUGUAAACUGCUUUUGUACGAGGAUAAACGCAGAUACGUGUAUCUGUCUGAAAGUAUCGUACGAAUAAGGAUCGGCUAACUCCGUGCCAGCAGCCGCGGUAAUACGGAGGAUUCAAGCGUUAUCCGGAUUUAUUGGGUUUAAAGGGUGCGUAGGCGGUCUGAUAAGUUAGAGGUGAAAUCCCGAGGCUCAACGUCGGAAUUGCCUCUGAUACUGUUCGACUAGAGAGUAGAUGCGGUAGGCGGAAUGUAUGGUGUAGCGGUGAAAUGCUUAGAGAUCAUACAGAACACCGAUUGCGAAGGCAGCUUACCAAUCUACUUCUGACGUUGAGGCACGAAAGCGUGGGGAGCGAACAGGAUUAGAUACCCCUGUAGUC
rnacentral:rRNA from 1 species